GCGGAGCCCGAGCGAUCCGGAGUGAGUGGCGACGGAGAGCUUAGGGAUCAAGUGGCUGCGCUUAUUGGACUAGUGCGGCAGCAAGCGGAGUCCGUUCAACGCCAAGGGGAGCAAAUUCAGCGGCUCCAGGAGGCCUUGGAGCGUCAACAGCGGCGGCCCAGGCGGGUGUCGAGCAUAUCGUGCCCCCUGCGGUAGUGCCGAGUGUAGACGAGGGAGCGGCGGCAGCAGCGGCUGUCCCAGUUAUGGUAGUACCGGCCGGAUCGGGAACCUCAAAUCCCGAUAGCGCGGCGGUAGAGGCGGAGCGAGAGCGCACGUUGGCGGCUCUCAUUCAGUUUAAGAAGUUCAACCCACCUACCUUUGAGGGCGGUUUGGUGGAGCCGGCGGUCGUGGAGUCGUGGAUCGACUCAAUGGAGACGCUCUUCGAGGAUCUCAAUACCUCGGAGAAGGACAAAGUGUA
rnacentral:lncRNA from 1 species